UUUCCGUAGGUGAACCUGCGGAAGGAUCAUUACAGAGUCCGCCUACUUGUAGGCACCUCUCACCCUUGAAUACAUACCUUUGUUGCUUUGGCGGGCCGCCCCCCGGGGCGUGGGCCUAGGCUCACCGUGCCCGCCAGAGGACCAAAACUCUUGUGUUUAGUGAUGUCUGAGUACUAUAUAAUAGUUAAAACUUUCAACAACGGAUCUCUUGGUUCUGGCAUCGAUGAAGAACGCAGC
rnacentral:misc_RNA from 1 species